UAACGCUUGUGGCAGGCACAUCGAUGGGCAGUGCCAUCUAUGAGGCAAAAACCGAAAGUGUCGCCAUCUAGUGGUCAGUUGGGUGCCGCGAUUGGGGUAAGAAUUUUCGGAGACGAAGAGGCAACAGAGUCAAUUGUCAUGAUCCCGGAAAACGGAGAGUUAUUCUAUGGGGGCUAACUUAGCUUCCCGCCCAGAGCCACGAGCUGCUGGCUUUCUUUCCCUUUUCGGCAGCCAUCGAGUGCGGUUUAGUUCAGUUUGGCCUUGUGUAAAGUGACGGAUAGAAUAUCCAGAUUAUAUAUAUAGCGCUAAAUCCUGUUUAUGGGUUUGGCGCUUAGUAUCCGAUAUUGGAUCCGGCCGUUGCUGUAGAGGGAACGAUUCAUCAAGUCCCCCUAAAGAAGACCGAAGUCAUCCGACGGAGAAGGGAAAUUAUCGUCGCAUAAAUGGGUCUCAAAGGCCUAAGAGUUCCCUAAGAUAAUUAUUUAAUCAGCUUAAGUCGCUGGGAGCGGAGUUAGGACUAAGAGAGGGCAAAAGAGUCAAAAAGAACUCGAGAUGUAACACCUGCCCAAAUUACACAUAAUAUUUAUAUUCCCUCUUCAUCAUCUUCGUUAUCUCCCGCCUGCGAGCGAAACUUAGCGAAGCUCAGUUUGACAGGCAGUUUUUCGGCGCGCUGAUCUAGUUUAGACGUUUCGGUCCACGCUCGGACGAAAAUUUAAUUUAACUCGUCGAACAACAAUGCGGAAUAAUUGUCAAGUCGCCGCACGGAAUGUAAGGCAGUUCGGAAAGCCAAAGAUCGGUCGGAGUUCGCUGA